CACACACACACACACACACACACACACACACACACACACACACACACACACACACCAUUUCAAUCGAUAAGAUCUUUAUCAGGUUCAGUGGGUUUAGAUCAGGUAGGUACAAGCAUCUAAAAUACACAUACAACUAUAACACUCUCAACUAGCUUCAAUCUAAUCUAAGAAGGUCUAAUGUCAAUAAUGACAACAACAAUAACACUCUCAACUAGCUUCAAUCUAAUCUAAGAAGGUCUAAUGUCAAUAAUGACAACAACAAUAACACUCUCAACUAGCUUCAAUCUAAUCUAAGAAGGUCUAAUGUCAAUAAUGACAACAACAAUAACACUCUCAACUAGCUUCAAUCUAAUCUAAGAAGGUCUAAUGUCAAUAAUGAAACAACAAUAACACUCUCAACUAGCUUCAAUCUAAUCUAAGAAGGUCUAGAUCUACUCAUUAUCAAUCCUCUAUCCACAUCAUCAACAGUUGGCUUUGAACUAUGAAAAACAAACAAGCUACUUAAAAGUUGCAGACUUUAAAUAUAAAACCUCAAAACCUGUCAAGCCUCUUACAUCAUUCUUUGUAAAACACGAAAAGUAAAGCAUUGUAAAUACGUUGACGUUUUAUUUUUUUAGCUAAUCACAACAAUACUACUAACGUAUCACAAGGAGAACAAACUAAAGAUAUAAUAUUCCACAGAGAUGACUUCGUGUCCUCUACUUCCUGUUUCUGAUACUGACUCUGGGCUACUGAAACUGCUGUUAUCUCUACUGUCCAGACUCAGUCAGGUCCAGGUUGGUACUCUACUCUACUGUCCAGACUCAGUCAGGUCCAGGUUGGUACUCUACUCUACUGUCCAGACUCAGUCAGGUCCAGGUUGGUACUCUACUCUACUGUCCAGACUCAGUCAGGUCCAGGUUGGUACUCUACUCUACUGUCCAGACUCAGUCAGGUCCAGGUUGAUACUCUACUGUCCAGACUCAGUCAGGUCCAGGUUGGUACUCUACUCUACUGUCCAGACUCAGUCAGGUCCAGGUUGGUACUCUACUCUACUGUCCAGACUCAGUCAGGUCCAGGUUGGUACUCUACUCUACUGUCCAGACUCAGUCAGGUCCAGGUUGGUACUCUACUCUACUGUCCAGACUCGGUCAGGUCCAGGUUGGUACUCUACUCUACUGUCCAGACUCAGUCAGGUCCAGGUUGAUACUCUACUGUCCAGACUCAGUCAGGUCCAGUUUGGUACUCUACUCUACUGUCCAGACUCAGUCAGGUCCAGGUUGAUACUCUACUCUACUGUCCAGACUCAGUCAGGUCCAGGUUGAUACUCUACUCUACUGUCCAGACUCAGUCAGGUCCAGGUUGAUACUCUACUGUAUCUGCUGUUAUCUCUACUGUCCAGACUCAGUCAGAUCCAGGUUGAUACUCUACUGUAUCUGCUGUUAUCUCUACUGUCCAGACUCAGUCAGAUC